GACGAACCGAGCGAACGUUGUUCGGAAUCACUGGGCUUAAAGGGCGCGUAGGCGGGCUGUCAAGUCUGGGGUGAAAUCCCGCGGCUCAACCGUGGAACUGCCUCAGAUACUGACGGCCUCGAGGGAGGUAGGGGCGAGCGGAACGGAUGGUGGAGCGGUGAAAUGCGUUGAUAUCAUCCGGAACGUCCGGUGGCGAAGCGGCUCGCUGGACCUCUUCGACGCUGAGGCGCGAAAGC
rnacentral:rRNA from 1 species